CAAAUUAUAAGGGUGGUUUUUGACAUUUGUGGGCCUUCAGUGCAUAAAUACACAGAAAUUUAGGAUGUCCUAGAUAAAAAUGGAACAGAUUUCAAGAGACCUCAGCACUUUUUUAUGUGGCAGUGCCUCCAUGGCUCCCCUACAUCACCACCUGCAAGCAAACCUCAGCACCACCAGCCUGGAUGGAGCCCUCAGUGCCAGGGGUACAAGAACCAAUGCUGACUAUGCUCACAGUGACCUCACUGGGGAUAGCCUGCUCAGGAUGAGACAGUCAGAGGGAGACCAGGAGCCUGCUCACAUCUGCACUUGAGACAUCUCCAAAAUUUGCACGAAUGAAAAUGUUGCUACCAGAAUACUUUUGAUGCAGUAGAGUUUUGAAUACAUGGAUUCAUGUCUGAAACCACAAUGUGUUAUAUCUGUGCAUCUGGAAGUGCAAUAAACUGUUUUUCCCAUGUUGUUUCUUUCA
rnacentral:lncRNA from 1 species